AAGGAGGAGGAAAAGACGGGGGGUGGAGAGUAACACUGGAGAGCAGCAGUGAUCCAGCCCCUCUGAAUCUGAAAAGCAUCACCAGAGCCUUUGGAUAAAGACCAGCUGCAUAGCAAAGCUAGGAGGGAGAGGAUUUCUGCUCAGUGAUAAAACAUGAAACAGAUGUGAGCAAACAGCAUGGAGCUCAAGAGAGGAAAAACCUUCAUCAAAUCCAGUGUGCAACACGAAAAAGUGCUACCAGAGCUCACAGCUUCUACAAACAAAAAUGAUAUAGGGAAAGACAAAAAGGCAGCCCUGGAGGGGAACCGAAGCAUAGCUGAAGUCCAGCUGGCAUACCUGGCCACACACAAGAACUACAGAUUUUCCACCAGAGCAGCAAGGAAUGGUGCUGGUGACAACAGCCUGGAAAAAUCCUCUGGGUCUUCCUACAAACUUGUAAGGAAGAGUAAAACCCAUGACUGUGUUAGUGAAGCAGAUAAAACAGAGCACUGCAGCCCCAGCAACAGGGCUUGUGAGGAAGGUUUUUCUGGAAAGGGGAAGGGGCGACUCGUCAAUAGCAUCAGCUUUUCGGGGAUGUCCAGUUCCAGCAGUAAGAAAGAGUGUGUAGUAAGCCCGAGCCAGUCUGCCUGCAGCAGUCAGAUGAUUGAUUACAGGAACUUUGUGCCACAGAUGCCUUUUGUACCAGCUGUUGCAAAAACCAUCCCCAGGAAGAGGAUAUCCCUCAAGAGAUCAAAGAAAGGGCUCAGAGAUAUAUUUCAUAUUAAAAAAAAUAAACCGGAGAGCCUCGCAUUCCUGGUUGAGAAGGACAAGAACCUGUCCUCUCCAGGCUGCAAGAGUGAGUUGCCUGGGCGCCUCGCAAAGUACCUUUUCAAAACUGGAGAACCAUUUGCAGCCGACUGCUUGUCACAAGACUGCUCAGACAGUGAACUGCAGUCUGACUCUUCCUAUGACUGCUGCAACCCUCUGUGCGAAGAUGUUGCAUCACUGAAGAGCUUUGACUCCCUUACUGGCUGUGGGGAAAUCUUUGCUGACGAGAGCUCUGCUCACCUGGAGCUGGAGAACAGCAAAGAAGUUCUGGUGAGACGAAGCAAGCACAAAGAGAGCCCUGCCAUGGGCUCCUUCCAAGGGGGUGUGGAGCAGCUGGCCUCUCCAGGGCAGAAUGAGGCCGUUGAAUUUGGGAAGUUUUGGGACAACAUUAACAAAUCAGUGAGGCUACAUCAGAGCAUGCUGUUUGAUAAGAAGUUACUGACGAUGCCUGGUUCUGACAUGGGAAAGGCUGGAAGCCAAGCUGCUGCAUCUGCGACAGACCCCCAGGUGUCACCUGGUAAAGAUGGUGACAAUUCCAAAGAGAACCCCACAGAAACAGAAACACCAAAAAGUGACAACCAGGAAUCCAUAUCCACGAGUGAUGAAGGCUACUACGAUUCAUUCUCUCCUGGACAAGACGAUGAAGUGAAGGAAGCUCAGACCCCUGGGGUCCCAGGCAGAUUUCCAAGAGACAGCUACAGUGGAGAUGCCCUUUAUGAGCUCUUCUAUGACUCAAGUGAAGUCAAAAUAAACCCCGUCCUAGAUGAUGACUUGUGUACAUCUGAAAGCAUUUCCGAACAAGCCAUUGAAAUCCCUUUGUCCAUCUACAGUUUUCAUGUUGGAGCUGAGGAAAACACGGCUUCCCAACCAGCUGUAGACAUCAUCAGCCAGGGUUUUUUCCACAGCACAUGGAAAGGCAAAGAAUGUUUGCUAAAGCUCUGUGAUACUGAGCUUUCACUAACCAUGGGGAUAAUAAACUGGCUGCGAAAACACUCAGGACUUGUUUCCUCCCCAGACUCUCUUCAGAGCCCUCAGCCACAGCCAGAAAAGGGUAAUCAUUCACCAAUCCCUCCCAGCCCCGGUCCUGAGCACAAUGUGAGCACAGCACAGCAGGAGAAACAAAGCAAGGAAGAUACAUUUAACCGAAGGGUGUCUUUGGACAAAAGCAAAGAUGCAACCCAGGCGUCUUCAGUAAAUGUUGCUGAAAGAGACUCUUGCACUAAUACAUCUAAUUUGGAUUCCCAAGGAAGGGAAGGUAGUCACCAUGAGCAUUCAUCUACAGUGCCUGGGACUGCGGAAACCACAGGUGCAUCAAAUUAUGCACCACAAUCACAGGGAAACGGAGACAAUCUGCAGACAUCUUCAACUGAGAAGGCAACAAUUUCAAAAGGAUACGAGACAUCUGAAGAUAGAAUUCUGCUGGCAGAGAACUUGAACAGACAGAGUGGCUCACAGAGCUCUGAAAGCCCUUUGUUAAAUGAUAAUCAUGAAGUAGAGUCAUGUUACUCCUAUAAGACUGCUGCGACCUCACCUCUGGAUGCCCUUGAGAGGGAGGACGGAAAUAAACCAAUGUAUCACUCUCUGUCUGUUUGCUGUGACAAACCACCGCAGCCUCUUACUCUCAGAGGCUUCCAGAGCUACAUCAGCCCCACGCCAAGGGAGAACAGUACUAACAUAGUGCAGCUCUUAGAGCGAUGCGUGACGCAAGUGGCAUCACUAAAACUCAGCUAUGAAAACAAGCACCUGGAAGACAAAUAUAUUGGGAAUGAAAUGAACAAUAUCAUUUGUAAGAUGUCUCAGUACAAAAACAAGCUACUGAAUGAAUGCAAUUGUGUUGCUCAAACACCAGAAUACUCCAGUAUUGCUUGCACAAACCAAUACAAUUAUGAAACAAGUUUCCAAGCCAGCAGUCUAUAUCAUUUGAAACAAAAUGGGGAGCAAAUUUGCUCCGAGGACCAAAAAGGUAGAGCAAAAAUCCUAGAUGAAGUAGCUAGAGACAAGAUCGGUUUUGAAUAUGCCCAACUAAAUAAUCAAGCGUUCUCCUAUUUACAAGACUUCACGUUUGCAAGUGAUUCUGCUCCCGCUACAAUGCUCAGCAGGCCAACAUUUUUACCUCUCUUUAACUCCGUCUGCUUAGACAUACCUGCUACUGUUUCAUCAGAUCCAUACAGCACUGCCAUCCCUCCAGCUGAGUCACUGCAGCCCAAGGAGGCCGAGCACGGCAGCCCAGGGCCCUGGCAUUAUGCAGAGUCCCCUUGCAGAUGCCUGUUGGGGGUGACAGCUCUGUCCCCUCACCCAGAGGCAGCAGCCCCGGACACAGCAGUGGUGGGGAGGAACCAGCAAUAACACACCUGUGUAGAGAAGGAUGUGUCUGCAGAAAAUAAAAGAUUCAAAGGAGGAAUACAGUCAUGAAGGUGCAACGCUGAAGAAUCCACUUCUAGACCUGGAUGCUGCCCCCCUUCCACACAUUAUAUAGCAUGACAGGCUACCACAACACUACACUGAUGUCAGAUUCAGCAAGGAUUUCUCUCCAGAGAUCCCACUUGAGGUCUCGCAGAAGCAGGUCAUGCCAGCCUGUCUAACUAACCAAUACAGUCAGGAGUUCCUGACAACUUCACACACUUGACAACAGGACAACAAAAGAUUUGCCUAACGUUAUUUCUCCCUGAAAUUGGCAUCUUCUUUUCUCUGCUCUUCGCCUUGCAAGGCCUGAUCAUCUGUCAGAUCUUCCCAAUCCCUGCUGCUGCUCACAUUAAAAGUACUCACAUCUCCUCUCUUGUGAUCUCUGCCCUUACUGCAGAGGGAAGUGAGUGCUUCUGCUCUCCCCACUUUAAAGCUGGGCUGUGUGGCACAUGCUUGGCCACUGAUCCCUUGCGAUAUUACAAGUGCAGACAGGAAAGAUUUGCUUUUCCUCCUCCUUUGAGUUUAUGGGCACAUCUAGCUGUAGCAGAAAGCAUAUUGCUCUCUGAAAUUCAAAGGUCCUGGGUUCGGUCCAUGCUACCAAAUGAACAACUGUGGAACUGCAUUAUAUACCAUGGAAAAAAAUGCCUGUGGGUAGUCUAUUCUAAUUCUCCCCACGGAGCUGCAUGAAUGCCAGUGCAAUGCUGGGGGAAAGCACAAAAUCUUCAUGGCUUAAUCAUUCUCCAGUUGAAGAACAAACAGAAAAUCCACUUCCUUGAGAUCAUACUGAGUCAUGUGUUUACUGGGAUUGGCUGCAAACUACUUUAAAGUAAGAUGAACAACAUCUUAGGAAAGAAAGAGAUGCUGGUGAAAUGAACCCAUAAAUGGGAAUAUUCAAUUUCAUAUAUGGGGUGUAGCUGUGAGAACAAGUUCCCUCAGGCUGCUUAAGAGCCUAACAUAGUACUAUGCCCCUUCAGAAUUAAAAGUCUUUAAAAAUACUUAAAACUUUAAAAUAGAUAAUACAGAAAAUUAAGAUAAAUGAUGAAAAAGUUGCGCAGACUUGUAACUACAGAAUUUCAGAUAAGUUUCUAUGAAACUGCUCAUCUGUUUCCUGUCCUAUUUCUACAUGAAUGGAAGUAGUGAAUAGUUAAAUGCACAAGUAAGAUCAGAAUAAUAAUUUAAAAAUGUGUUAAGGACACAUGCUAAGGACAACCUUGAAAGAGGAAAAGAAGGUUUUUCCCUCUCAAGGAUCACUAAAAUGUAGAAGAAUAUUCUGAAAAAUAAUAUUUUUAAAAAGCUUUUUUCUGUUAAGGACAUCAAGCUUUGACAUUCCUUCUUUUAAUGCAGCAUUCAUUUGAGUUUCAGAAAUGUUUUGGGAACUUCCAGCACAUAGACCUAAAUUUAAGAUAUGAAGUAUCAGGUACUUGAGUACCCUUAAUAAAACACUACCUACUGCUGUGAAGGGACAGAACACUUACCACUUUAGAGAACCAGAGUGUAAAUAAUCUUAUACAGGUAAAAGCAUCCAGAAAAAAAUGUAUGAAGAGAUCUCAAACAUACAUGCACUGUCGGGUAAGUAAGCAUGCCUUCCAAAAGCAGACUACUAAAAUGAAGUUUGGGUAUUCCAGUCAAAGAUGAGUGAUGUGAAAUUAGCAAAAAGUUCAAGAUUCAUUUUUUUGCUUCACUUAAAAUGUUUCAUUCUCCUAAGUAAGUUAGAGUGUUUGGUGGAAGAUACUGUAAAUGCUUACACUGUGCAGGAAAGGCACAAGAAGCACAAUGAUGUUGUAGGUCAACUAAGGGAUAUUCAGGAGGGAACAAUGUUGCAUAUUCUGACUUUUACUCAAUUAAAAGAAUAUAGACCUGUGGUACUCUUGGAGGCUGAAAUACGCAUGCAUACUAUAUAUUUAUACACACCGAAAAAGAGGGUUCAUGCAAACUUGUUGAGUUCAAGAAUAGGGAAGAAAUCGGAAGCAUGUACCAUUUAAAAAAAUCCAACUAGCAGAUUAAUAAAAUUUACCAUGCACGUAUUAUUUAUUAUGUAAUUAUGAUACUUACAUGCAUUUAUAUGUUAUGUUUAACAUAUUUUGUUAACUAUUUUUUAAAUAUGUCAUAUUUGAUAUAUAUAUAUAUAUGCUUCAUGUAUUAUAUUUUAGUUACCAUAUUCUACAUUAUGUAUUAAAGGUAUUAAAGUCACUUGAAUUCUAUGUUACAGUUGGUCUCCAAUCAACAUAAUUGCAUUGUUUUACAUGACAUUAAUGAAUCGCUAUUUUCCAGCACUGAAAAUUCACCACUUGGAAAAAAAUCUACUGCUUAUGAAGAGUUUAUACCUAUAGCCUAUAACAGAGGCUUAUAGAGGCACUAGCCCUCUAAUUCUUCUCCUCUGUACAGAAUAACCUGGCAUAAUAUGCCAGGUCAAUCACCAUUGGUAGAAUCAGAACACUAAGAUCAGAAUACUAUGUACUCUAAUCUUAUCCUGAGGAAGUCAUUUGGAAAGUGGAUUAGUUUCUAAACUUAGCCAGCUACUGCUUUAAGAAUAGUCAUGUUUAAGAGGAAUGGAAGUUCUGGCCUCUCUGAGAAAUUACUCCCGAUCUAACUGUUUAACAAAGAAUCACCCUUACCUUCUAUGACAUGCUUUACAAAUUACUUGGUUGACUCCUGGAAGGAACUACUUAUUUCCAGGUGCAUCUUUAAGUGUCCCAUCUUCAUAAGCCUUAACUGUCUGAAGAAAUAAGGAAAAUAAAUUAAGGGUUAAAUCUGUCACAAGAGAGCACAGACUGGAGUUUAAAACUUAACACAAACUAAGUAUAUAUGCAUGUUAUAUUUACUUGUCUUUCUAACAGUGGGAAACCAUUUAAGUAUAUUUACAAACAUUUCAGAAUUUCAGCAAGUUGAAGAUGCCUCAUUUUGUUAAGCUGAAAAACUGCUUUUAUCAGUUUAAUUUCUGUAGUAGUAUUUUAAAUACAUCUGUACAACUCUCAUAGUUUCUAAAUACUUCAGAACAAUACAAUGAGACCUAGCAGAUACAUUCCUUUAAUUGUUACUGCAAACAGACUAUUUAAAAUAAAAUUGUUACACUACUAUUAAACUAUUGUCAAUCUAUA